GGGCACUUGGCACAGUGGUAGCGCGCACGCUUCGCAUACGAGCAUUUGCGUGAGGUCGGGAGUUCAAUCCUCCCAGUGUCCA
rnacentral:tRNA from 1 species